rnacentral:rRNA from 1 species
GAUGAACGCUGGCGGCGUGCUUAACACAUGCAAGUCGAACGAAGCAUUUAGAACAGAUUACUUCGGUUUGAAGUUCUUUAUGACUGAGUGGCGGACGGGUGAGUAACGCGUGGGUAACCUGCCUUGUACUGGGGGAUAGCAGCUGGAAACGGCUGGUAAUACCGCAUAAGCGCACAAUGUUGCAUGACAUGGUGUGAAAAACUCCGGUGGUAUAAGAUGGACCCGCGUCUGAUUAGCUAGUUGGUGAGAUAACAGCCCACCAAGGCGACGAUCAGUAGCCGACCUGAGAGGGUGUCCGGCCACAUUGGGACUGAGACACGGCCCAGACUCCUACGGGAGGCAGCAGUGGGGAAUAUUGCACAAUGGAGGAAACUCUGAUGCAGCGACGCCGCGUGAGUGAAGAAGUAAUUCGUUAUGUAAAGCUCUAUCAGCAGGGAAGAUAGUGACGGUACCUGACUAAGAAGCUCCGGCUAAAUACGUG